rnacentral:rRNA from 1 species
GCUCAGGAUGAACGCUGGCGGCGUGCCUAACACAUGCAAGUCGAACGAAGCAAUUAAAUGAAGUUUUCGGAUGGAAUUUGAUUGACUGAGUGGCGGACGGGUGAGUAACGCGUGGAUAACCUGCCUCACACUGGAGGAUAACAGUUAGAAAUGACUGCUAAUACCGCAUAAGCGCACAGUACCGCAUGGUACGGUGUGAAAAACUCCGGUGGUGUGAGAUGGAUCCGCGUCUGAUUAGCCAGUUGGCGGGGUAACGGCCCACCAAAGCGACGAUCAGUAGCCGACCUGAGAGGGUGACCGGCCACAUUGGGACUGAGACACGGCCCAGACUCCUACGGGAGGCAGCAGUA